GCAAGGCCGCAGAUGUGGGGUCACCCUGGGCUGUGUCACCCCCAAGGACUCUCCCAGGGAAGGAUCCUCUUCUGAGCUUUUACUUUCCUAUCAGCAGGAGUGAGCGGGCUUUGCUUGCUUUGGGCAACAAAUCACUUUAGGCCUUUGGCCCCAAACCAUCUCUAGAAUGUGGUCACCUGCCAUCUCAGCAUCUGGCCACCAUAAUGUGGUCAAGAAAACUUGUUGACUUCUAUUACCCCCAUCUAUUACAGCUAAGCUGUGUGAUGGCAGAGAUUUUUCUUGUUUUGAUCACUGUUUUAUCUGCAAGAUCUACAACUGGCCCAGGGAACUAUGCAAGUAAGACUUAUUGAAUACAUGAGUAAAAGAGAAAAGGUGAAGAUGAUAAAUAAUGCAAAUACUCUCAUAGGAUCUAUUGCAUGCAAAGCACUAGUAGACAAUUUCCCAAAGGAUGAAUAGGAAGUGCCUACUUCAUAGUUGACACGGUGAAGAUGAGCCUCUUUCCCCAUCCGCAUCUCAAAUAGCUAACCAAGUGUCAGCAAUGAAACAACAUUUCUGAAUUCAAAUGGGACUGGAGUCAGAUGAUGAUUCUAAGAAAAAGGCCACGGGAACAGCAUCUAUCCCACUUCAACAUUUUCUCCUCAUUUGAAUAUCCCAUUUGUGAAUCUUGCAAGAAGGGAAAGAAAUCACUCAUUGUUUAGGAGAUUUCAUGCCUUCCCUCCAUCCUGCUUCUGGAGGUAAAUCCUAAAAGAGUCGGCACAGCACUUCUCACCUGUGUCACUGCCAGUCCCGGGAAGCCCAGCUUCUACCGUGCUUUUAAGUGCUCGCAUGACUAAUAAAGUGUGACAUGGCUCAGAUUUGCUAGCCUUCUCUUCAGGGCGUACAUUCUAGCUGACAAAAUAUGGCUAAAUUUAGCUGCCUUUAGACAACAAGCGUCUUCAUAACAAAAGGGGUCUCAAAGGCGACAAUGAGCUGAGACAUGUCCCUGUCCUAACGCGAAUUACUCAGAGCCCCGUGGACACUCAGCCCCCACAAACACACAAGCGCUCCUGGGCACCGUCGAAUUGUGUCCACAGUGACCAGGGCAGGGGUUUCUUUCAUGGCCUCUGGCCCCUAAGAGUCUUUACCAAGGUGGGCGGAAGGGGAUUCAGACAGUGAUGGAUCAAGUAGGGGCCAUAAUUCAGUAGCAGAGGCUUCUGCAGCACUGAUUACAGGCUGUUCUAACCACUGUA